GCCGGGCGUGGUGGCAGGCGCCUGUAAUCCCAGCUACUCAGGAGGCUGAGGCAGGAGAAUCACUUGAACCCAGGAGGCGGAGGUUGCAGUGAGCCGAGAUCGCACCACUGCACUCCAGCCUGGGUGACAGAGUGAGACUCUGUCUCAA
rnacentral:SRP_RNA from 1 species